rnacentral:rRNA from 1 species
UACGGGGGGGGCAAGCGUUGUUCGGAAUUACUGGGCGUAAAGGGCUCGUAGGCGGCCAACUAAGUCAGACGUGAAAUCCCUCGGCUUAACCGGGGAACUGCGUCUGAUACUGGAUGGCUUGAGGUUGGGAGAGGGAUGCGGAAUUCCAGGUGUAGCGGAUGAAAUGCGUAGAUAUCUGGAGGAACACCGGUGGCGAAGGCGGCAUCCUGGACCAACACUGACACUGAGGAGCGAAAGCCAGGGGAGCAAAACGGG